rnacentral:misc_RNA from 1 species
GGUGGAUUGGUACAUGAGCUCACAAUUCUCACAGCAAUUCCUCAAUCCAUGCAAAAGCAUCACCACUUCCUAAGAAAAGCUGCUACCACAUGAUGAUGGACAAAAGAGCAAUGGCUACAAAAGGGCAAUCAUAUUUAUACCCAUAUGUUCUUCAACUCAAAUUUGCAUCAUAUUUAUCCUAUUACUUAACAACCCCAUGAUAUCAAAAUAUGGUAUUCU